GUCUUCGUUCCUUACAAGUAGUUCUCUGAUAUAUAAUCAUAAUUAUCUGGCAAUAUUUUUAAAUUCAGCGUUCCUAUGAUUAACGUUGCAUAGUUGGCUUUGUGAAUCGCGUCAAUAAUAAGUCCUCGUAGUGAUUUGUAUAUAGUACAUAGAUUUCAAAUUGAACAAUGCAUAUUAGACAAAUAAUAAUUCAAGGCUUCAAGAGUUAUAAAGAUCAAACGGUAGUAGAGCCAUUUGAUAAGAGGCACAAUGUUGUUGUUGGAAGAAAUGGCUCUGGAAAAAGUAAUUUUUUUUAUGGGACCUGGUUGGUCAAACACGGAAGUCAAGACUAUAAUGGAAGGGAAAAUUAAAGAACUAGAUAAGAGAGAAUAUUACUGAAUAUUGCAAGAGGAACAAUGUCGGCGGAAUCAAGAGGAAUACCAGAGAAUGAUAUAAGUUCUAUAAAUCCUCCAGUGUACUCAAAUCUACAGAUAGUGGAAUAAGUACAGAAAUGGUUCUGCAGAUAUGACGGUGGCAAGGAUCCAUUGGGUUUUAUCGAGCACAAAGAACUAGCAGAUAUGUACAGCAUUGAUGUAAACUCAAUUUCUCGCGCAAUGUCCUUCUUGAAAAUAAGGCGCUGACAUGGUAUCGCAACAACAAUUUUCGUUGGCAACUCUCGACAAGUUUUAAAGUUGAUUUUUUAAAGUUCUUUACCUAAUCUAGAUACUUCGAUAAGCUAGAGAACGAGGUAUGAACACGACUUCUAAAAUCAAAAGAAAGUUUUUGAGAUUAUUUAUUUGACAUCAAAACUCUAAUGCAACGAGCCUGUAUUAUUCAAGAUUCUCAACAAAGCGAAUAUAUCGCAACAUGAACGCUGAUUACCAAAGGUACGUCGGAGACGAGGAGAUCUUAGAUGAAUUAAUGACAGUAGUUGAUGACUUUGAAGCACUUCAAAUAGAGCAGAUCAAAGCAAGUCAAAGCAAUGAACAAGAAACGAGCAUGAGGCAGGUGGUAGUUGAAUUCAAGCAAGCAAUCCCAUUGCAGUAUACUAUGAUAUGAGUGCAACCAAGGAAAAUACCGAAGAACAUGUCCAACAAAAGAAGCAGAGCAGUCAGGAACAGAAUCAGUCCAACCUACAUUUAACAAUGCGAAUCAUGCAGGAUCGAAAUUAUCUAGAACAGCAUCCGAUACCACUGAAAUAAACUUCACAAACACAAGCCGAUAAAUGUCUCAUACCUCAACAACAAGCACUGCAACGCAUCAUUCGAGAAAAUUCAGAAGUAUUUUAUCCAGCCCGAGUUAUGCAAAGUUAAAUUCAAGCGCAUGAAAUACAACCACAGCAAGAUCUGCAACGCGUUACGCCUAUCGAAAAAAGUAAACAAGGACUUAGUAAACAUCGAAUUUCCAAUACAUAUUCUAUAACAUACAAGACCAAGGAAACGUACAACGGCAAAUACAAAAUGUACAACAAUCUCCAGAGCUAGAGGUGCAUGAAGAAAAUUCGAUUAUAUACUCGAUAGGCUUGGUGGGAACCUCAUGAGAAUACGUACCUUAUGAACUAACGUCAACAGAGACCUCGCUAACACCACGACUCGUUGUCUCUACAUUAUGAAUGCCAUAGUGAAUCAGUUUCUAAUUAAAAACGUCUUUGCGGCUGAACAAAAACAAAAUGAACAAAAACAAAAAGAAACCACCGAAUCUCAGCGCAAAGUAAAUCUAUAUUUGUACGACCAAGGCAAAUCUUAUACGGAGAUUGGAAAAAUAAUGGAUAGAAGCGCUAUACCAUUCGAAAUAUUGUGCAGAGUAGCAAAGGGGUGAUAUCGUUCAAAAGUGCAUAGCACACAGGCGACCUAAAGCCUUGAGCGACCGUGAUCGCAACAUAAUAAUAAGAAAGGUGAAGGUCAACCCAAAAAUAUCUUCAAUCCAAAUUCCAGCUGAGGUUAGGCGAGAGUUUGGCUAGUUAUAACAGUCGUGUCACUAGACGAAAACCGAAAGCCAACCAACAGAAACGUCUAGCUUCUGCAAAAGCGUACUUAAGCAAGCCAAUCCAGUUUUGGAAUAAUGUUAUCUUCGCAGAUAAAAAUAAAUUUAAUAUCUUUCGAUCUGAUGGCCACUAAAUAGUUUGGAGUAAACUAAACACCGAACUGCAAAAAGAAAAUCUUGCAAUGUCUGUGAAACAUUGUGGUGGAGAAGUGUUUGUACAUGGCUGUAUGUCCGUUGCAGGGGUCGGCGAAUUGGAAUUCAUUGACGGCAUUAUGGACAAAAAAUAUUGUUUAGACAUCCUCAAGAGAAACAUCAAAAAAAUUGCCUAAAACUUGAGUUUACUUGUCACAUUUAGCUUCCAACAUGAUAAUGACCCAAAACAUACGUCUUAUGUUGUGCGUAUGUGCCUCACUCAUCAUGUAAACACACAUUACCGCAUACACCUCAAUCUCUAGAUCUCAACCCCAUUGAACAUUUGUGGGAAGAAUUGGAUAGACGACUAAAGAAGCACACUAUACAACAAAAUCAGCACUGAAGGUGGCUCUGCUUGAAGAGUGGCAAAAUAUUGGGCCAGAAACCACACAAAAAUUGGUUUUAUCGAUAAUAAGGCGACUAGAAGCCGGUAUCAAACAAAAGGACUUGACCACGACAUAUUAAUUGUUAUCGUAAAUAUUUUUUUUAAAUUUGUUUUUUAAUUUUUGCAUUAACUGUGCAGAUAAUUUUGUU